rnacentral:tRNA from 1 species
GCCUGGGUGGCUCAGCAGUUGAGCAUCUGGCUUUGGCUCAGGUCAUGAUCCCGGGGUCCUGGGAUCGAGUCCCACAUCAGGCU